AUUGACGGGGGCCCGCACAAGCGGAGGAACAUGUGGUUUAAUUCGAUGAUACGCGAGGAACCUUACCCGGGCUUGAAUUGCAGAGGAAGGAUUUAGAGAUAAUGACGCCCUUCGGGGUCUCUGUGAAGGUGCUGCAUGGUUGUCGUCAGCUCGUGCCGUGAGGUGUCGGCUUAAGUGCCAUAACGAGCGCAACCCCUCUCUUCAGUUGCCAUCAGGUAAUGCUGGGCACUCUGGAGACACUGCCACCGUAAGGUGUGAGGAAGGUGGGGAUGACGUCAA
rnacentral:rRNA from 1 species